rnacentral:SRP_RNA from 1 species
CCGUGCUAGACGGGGAGCUAGCGGUGCCCUGUAACCCGAAAGCCGCUUAUGCGGGGUUGAAUCCCCUCCUGAGGGUCCAUGCAAUGUCGGAGUCUGGCAGUCCUUGGAUCUGGUUGGACACUGCGCAACAGACGGAUACGAACCCCGUCAGGUCCGGGAGGAAGCAGCGGUAAGUAUUGCAGUCUGUGUCGCAGUUCUCUCUAAUCAUGGCUUCCAGGCUGUCAGUUCCGGCACUGGCAGAAUUCGAGGGAGGGUGCACGG